CGGACGAAACAGGGGUGCCGUGUCCGCGCAAUGCGCGGGCGGUGGCUGAGAAAUACCCUGGGGCCAUCAGAGUUCUGUUCACGAGCUCACAGGCCCCGCUACCCGAUCCAGGUCAUGCUGGCGUGGGGAGUUUCCAUCGCGGUGCA
rnacentral:ncRNA from 1 species